rnacentral:rRNA from 1 species
UACGUAGGGUGCGAGCGUUAAUCGGAAUUACUGGGCGUAAAGCGUGCGCAGGCGGGUCGUGAUGUCUGGUGUGAAAGCCCCGGGCUUAACCUGGGAAUUGCAUUGGAAACUAGCGGGCUGGAGUGUGGCAGAGGGGGGUGGAAUUCCACGUGUAGCAGUGAAAUGCGUAGAGAUGUGGAGGAACACCGAUGGCGAAGGCAGCCCCCUGGGCUAACACUGACGCUCAUGCACGAAAGCGUGGGGAGCAAACAGG